AACGCGAAGAACCUUACCUGGGUUAAAUCCACCAGAACCUUGCAGAGAUGUGAGGGUGCCCUUCGGGGAAUUGGUGAGAAGGUGCUGCAUGGCUGUCGUCAGCUCGUGUCGUGAGAUGUUGGGUUAAGUCCCGCAACGAGCGCAACCCUUGUCGUUAGUUGCUAACGGUUCGGCCGAGCACUCUAACGAGACUGCCGACGUUAAGUCGGAGGAAGGUGGGGAUGACGUCAAGUCCUCAUGGCCCUUAUGCCCAGGGCUACACACGUGCUACAAUGGCCGGUACAAAGGGUUGCGAACCUGCGAAGGUGAGCCAAUCCCAAAAAACCGGUCUCAGUUCGGAUUGAAGUCUGCAACUCGACUUCAUGAAGUCGGAAUCGCUAGUAAUCGCGGAUCAGCACGCCGCGGUGAAUACGUUCCCGGGCCUUGUACACACCGCGAGC
rnacentral:rRNA from 1 species